rnacentral:rRNA from 1 species
AUAGAGACUCAGAGCUGCAUAUCAAUAAGCGGAGGAAAAGAAACUAACAAGGAUUCCCUUAGUAACGGCGAGUGAAGCGGGAAGAGCUCAAAUUUGAAAUCUUCAAGGUUCUACCUUGACGAAUUGUAGUUUAAAGAAGUGUUUUCUGUUAGAUGAGUAGCAAAAGUUCCUUGGAAUGAGACAUCAUAGAGGGUGAGAAUCCCGUAUUUGGUUAUUCAUUCUAGCUUUGUGAUACACUUUCAAAGAGUCGGAUUGUUUGGGAAUGCAGUCCAAAAUGGGUGGUAAAUUUCAUCUAGAGCUAAAUAUUGGCGAGAGACCGAUAGCGAACAAGUACCGUGAGGGAAAGAUGAAAAGAACUUUGAAAAGAGAGUUAAACAGUACGUGAAAUUGUCAAAAGGGAAGCGUUUGACACCAGUGUUGUUUUCUCGAAAAUCAAUUACGAAUGGCUUGAUUUUGUGUUGUAUUGACCUUAUCAGCUUUCUGCACUUUUUUCGAGUCUUUCUUAAUGCACUUUUCGGUUAACAAGUCAACAUCAAUUUCUUUUGUUGUAAAAGAGUAUUCGGAAGGUGGCUUUCUUUUCGGAGAAAGUGUUUAUAGCCCUAUACUUCUACAAUCGGAGAGAUUGAGGUCUGCAGCGUAGAUCCUUCGGGGUUAGAUACACUUUGUGCUAAGUUAUAGCCUUUCAUAGACAACUUGUUGACUAUGAUCAGUCAUGUAGCUUACUCGCUUAUGCUAUUUUACCUACGCUUAGGAUGUUGACGAUCAGCUGAGCGCG